rnacentral:rRNA from 1 species
AUUGAACGCUGGCGGCAUGCCUUACACAUGCAAGUCGAACGGCAGCACGGGUGCUUGCACCUGGUGGCGAGUGGCGAACGGGUGAGUAAUACAUCGGAACAUGUCCUGUAGUUGGGGAUAGCCCUGCGAAAGCCGGAUUAAUACCGCAUACGAUCUACGGAUGACAGCGGGGGGCCUUCGGGCCUCGCGCUAUAGGGUUGGCCGAUGGCUGAUUUGCUGGUUGGUGGGGUAAAGGCCUACCCAGGCGGCGAUCCGCAGCUGGUCUGAGAGGGCGAGCGGCGACACUGGGACGGGGACACGGCCAAGACUCCUACGGGAGGCAGCAGUGGGGAAUUUUGGACAAUGGGCGAGAGCAUGAUCCAGCAAUGCCGCGUGUGUGAAGAAGGCCUUCGGGUUGUAAAGCACCUUUGUCCGGAAAGAAAUCCUUGGCCCUAAUACGGUCGGGGGAUGACGGUACCGGAAGAAGAAGCACCGGCUAACUACGUG